AGGAGGUAGCCAACACAGUUUUUUUUAUAUAUAUAUAUAUAUAUAUAUUUAUUUUUAAUUGGUGUAGCCCCCAAAAUAUUGGGACAUUUAAAAAAGACAACACUGUUCUGCAGAGUAGCUGUUGACAUUAUAGUUGCGCGGGCACUUUGUUGACUCUAGAGAACUUCGGGCCAAUCGCACAUCCCUGUGACGGUGACUUUGCAUUUGGAUGUCAUCCAUAUCAACUUUCAAUGCCAGUUUCUGCGCCUACCAUGGUGACCACGGGUAACGGGGAAUCAGGGUUCCAUUCCGUACAGGGACCCUGAGAAAUGGCUACCACAUGCAAGGAAGGCAGCAGGCGCGCAAAUGACCCACUCCUGACACGGGAAGUUAGUGA